AGAAACUUAGGAUCAGACCUAUAAAACCAGGGGCCUUCAAAACCCCAAACAAGAGAUAAAACCUCUUAGUUUCUG
rnacentral:tRNA from 1 species